CCUACGGGCGACUGCAGUGAGGAAUAUUGGUCAAUGGGCGGAAGCCUGAACCAGCCAAGUAGCGUGCAGGAUGACGGCCCUCCGGGUUGUAAACUGCUUUUAUACGGGAAUAACGCCGCUUACGUGUAGGGCUUUGCAUGUACCGUAUGAAUAAGGACCGGCUAAUUCCGUGCCAGCCGCCGCGGUAAUACGGAAGGGCCGGGCGUUAUCCGGUUGUAUUGGGUUUAAAGGGAGCGUAGGCCGCCUGUCAAGCGUGCUGUGAAAUGUCCGGGCUCAACCCGGGCCUUGCAGCGCGAACUGGCGUGCUUGAGUCCGCGGAAAGCAGGCGGAAUCCGUCGUGUAGCGGUGAAAUGCUUAGAUAUGACGAAGAACCCCGAUUGCGAAGGCAGCUUGCUGCAGCGGAACUGACGCUGAUGCUCGAAAGCGCGGGUAUCGAACAGGAUUAGAUACCCGGGUAGUC
rnacentral:rRNA from 1 species